rnacentral:rRNA from 1 species
GAACUGUGCGAACGUUAUUCGGAAUCACUGGGCUUACAGGGUGCGUAGGCGGCUUUUCAAGUCAGGUGUGAAAGCCCCCGGCUCAACCGGGGAAUUGCGCUUGAAACUGGAGAGCUCGAGUCAGCUAGAGGUGCACGGAACUUCCAGUGGAGCGGUGAAAUGUGUUGAUAUUGGAAGGAACACCGGAGGCGAAAGCGGUGCACUGGGGCUGGUCUGACGCUGAGGCACGAAAGCCAGGGGAGCGAACGGGAUUAGAUACCCCGGUAGUCCUGGCCGUAAACGAUGAGUGCUGGACGGGAGGGGGUUCGCCCUCUCCGGUCGGAGCGAAAGCGGGAAGCACUCCGCCUGGGGAGUAUGGUCGCAAGGCUG